GACAGAGGUCCCGAGCGUUAGGCGGAAUCACUGGGCUUAAAGCGUGUGUAGGCGGAUCGUUAAGUGCCUUGUGAAACUCCCACGGCUUAACCGUGGAACUGCUUGGCAUACUGGCGGUCUUGAGCCACUUAGGGGCAACCGGAACAAAUGGUGGAGCGGUGAAAUGCGUAGAUAUCUGGAGGAAUACCGGUGGCGAAGGCGGCACUCUGGGCCGGAACUGACGCUGAGGAGCGAAAGCGUGGGGAGCGAUCCGG
rnacentral:rRNA from 1 species